GACGAACGCUGGCGGCGUGCCUAACACAUGCAAGUCGAACGGAACUGUUUUGAAAGAUUUCUUCGGAAUGAAUUUGAUUUAGUUUAGUGGCGGACGGGUGAGUAACGCGUGAGUAACCUGCCUUCAAGAGGGGGAUAACAUUCUGAAAAGAAUGCUAAUACCGCAUGACAUAUCGGAAUCACAUGAUUUUGAUAUCAAAGAUUUUAUCGCUUGAAGAUGGACUCGCGUCCGAUUAGUUAGUUGGUGAGGUAACGGCUCACCAAGACCGCGAUCGGUAGCCGGACUGAGAGGUUGAACGGCCACAUUGGGACUGAGACACGGCCCAGACUCCUACGGGAGGCAGCAGUGGGGGAUAUUGCGCAAUGGGGGCAACCCUGACGCAGCAACGCCGCGUGAAGGAUGAAGGUUUUCGGAUUGUAAACUUCUUUUAUUAAGGACGAAAAUUGACGGUACUUAAUGAAUAAGCUC
rnacentral:rRNA from 1 species